CAAUUCAGCGACUUCUUUUGAGAAGUGUUCGGGAUGACAACUUUACUGUUAAUAAUACGAUGCACUACGUGACCAAUGAUUCUGCAAAAUUUGCGUUUUCAUACAAAAAAGCUACAUGCUAUGUGCUAUUAAUAAUGAUGUUAAAGUGUUUGUAAAACGUAACUGACUUGUGCAUUUAUAAAGCAUUACUCACUGGAUGCGAGGAUGAUCUUUAUGACAAUAACAGUUACAUGAAUAUGUUGCGUGUCCUACACGAAAAGGGCCUACACUGGCAUGAAUAGUGUAAAGCAUACAUAAGAAAAAUAUGUGGAAUAAAAUUUUCCUAAUUGCCUGUAGAUGCAACUGGUAUAGACGUUUGUGAUUACAUUAUUAAGAAUUGUGUCGCUGUUCAUCUUGACAAACCUGCUAAUAAAUUCAAUUUACUUGUAUUUACGAGUUAUGAUCAAAAAAUUGUUUGUCCUCAUAAAUCAAAAAUGCGCCGUUGAGGGUAUGGACUCUAUGAUGAAGAAAGAAUAUUUAAUGGGCGGGCACUUGUGUCUAGAGGUUCUCAAAGAAAAACUGUGUUCAGAGCUGGUUGGGGUGAAGCAUCAUAUUUUGAAGCGUGCCAAGAGUGUUAGUAAUGGAUACACCU
rnacentral:lncRNA from 13 species